CUCAUCAUCCGAUGCCCGAAAGCAUUGUCACAGCCGUGUCCGUGCUCCUCCGAGCAGGGGGCCGCUGCAGUCUGAACGUCGGGGCCGCCUGGAUUACGCCUUCUCACCCAACAGGCCACACAAGUUCUUCGGCUGGGGGAGGACGCGGCGGAAGAUCCUGGAGACGGUGUUCCUCACCUCAUCUCAACGGAGGUUAAACACUCGCCGGCGAGCACCCUGCUUCUGGCCCCGGUGCUCCUGCAUCUUGGCAUCACUUCUGCGACCCUGAAAGAAAAAGUAAGGGAGGGUAAAGGAAGGAGCAGGGAAACGGCCUCAGCGUAAAGGCACUGAAAUGUGAUUCCUCGUGGAACACGGCCGUGGUUCUCCACUCAGGUUUGUAGAUGUACAUCUCUGCAGGAGCUGUCUUAUUGCUCAGAAACUACCCCGGGUGAUUGAACAACUGUGUAUGCCAAUGAGAUCGUGCAUGUGGAUGAGAGAAGGCAACCUGUUGCCUGGAACAUCAGUUUCCCAAACUAUAGUCACUGAUGAAUCACCCUCAUAUUUUUUUUUCAUAUUUGUGAUGGAACAUAGUUGCAUUAUGGAAUUAAUGGAAUUUUGGGGGUAUCUUUGGCCUAUUUGUGGGCCAGCUGUUCAUUAUUUAAUAUUUUUCCUUAAAAUGGCUCUACUUAAAUAAAUGUGUUACAAAAGGAAACUUCCCAUCCACAAAAUGAAUGGAAACCUAGUAUCAUGUGUCAUAAAGAGGGUAACUACAAUGAUAAAUAAAAUUAAUGCAAAGGAAAUCUUAUUAAAUUCUGGUUGGAGACAAGCACCAUGAGAAACACUGAGUCUCUGACCUGUUCUUCAUGACAAAUGGAGAUUAGUAAAUUUAUGGUUACAUUUACAAGCCUUUAAUGAUUUCACUUGGAAUGAAAAAAGGCCGAAAAUAAAUAUCCAUUUCAAGAACUUAGAAAAAAAGUAAUGGGGAUAAAUCAGAUAUGAAAUCAAGAUGAGAGCAGAAUUAAGUGGAAAACAAAGAUACAAUGGAAAAUACCAGCAAAACCAAAAGA